rnacentral:rRNA from 1 species
AGAGUUUGAUCCUGGCUCAGGACGAACGCUGGCGGCGUGCCUAAUACAUGCAAGUAGAACGCUGAAGAGAGGAGCUUGCUCUUCUUGGAUGAGUUGCGAACGGGUGAGUAACGCGUAGGUAACCUGCCUUGUAGCGGGGGAUAACUAUUGGAAACGAUAGCUAAUACCGCAUAACAAUGGAUGACACAUGUCAUUUAUUUGAAAGGGGCAAUUGCUCCACUACAAGAUGGACCUGCGUUGUAUUAGCUAGUAGGUGAGGUAACGGCUCACCUAGGCGACGAUACAUAGCCGACCUGAGAGGGUGAUCGGCCACACUGGGACUGAGACACGGCCCAGACUCCUACGGGAGGCAGCAGUAGGGAAUCUUCGGCAAUGGGGGCAACCCUGACCGAGCAACGCCGCGUGAGUGAAGAAGGUUUUCGGAUCGUAAAGCUCUGUUGUAAGUCAAGAACGGGUGUGAGAGUGGAAAGUUCACACUGUGACGGUAGCUUACCAGAAAGGGACGGCUAACUACGUGCCAGCAGCCGCGGUAAUACGUAGGUCCCGAGCGUUGUCCGGAUUUAUUGGGCGUAAAGCGAGCGCAGGCGGUUUGAUAAGUCUGAAGUUAAAGGCUGUGGCUCAACCAUAGUUCGCUUUGGAAACUGUCAAACUUGAGUGCAGAAGGGGAGAGUGGAAUUCCAUGUGUAGCGGUGAAAUGCGUAGAUAUAUGGAGGAACACCGGUGGCGAAAGCGGCUCUCUGGUCUGUAACUGACGCUGAGGCUCGAAAGCGUGGGGAGCGAACAGGAUUAGAUACCCUGGUAGUCCACGCCGUAAACGAUGAGUGCUAGGUGUUGGGUCCUUUCCGGGACUCAGUGCCGCAGCUAACGCAUUAAGCACUC